UUGUGUUGUCUGCUUCCCUUGAUUGAUAUUUGAUGUUGUGAGAAUAGCAAUCUGCAGGGUUUUGGCGCAUUUUAUUUCUUUGGUUUUAACUGAGAUCUGGAGUCAUUUCCAUAGAGCAUUUCUAUGUUUGAAGUAACCAGUUUCAUAGUUAUCACGGAUGUGAGCUGAGAGAUACAGAGGUUGCCAGUGAGAACACUCAGUUCCAUAAACUUUGUGUAGAAUCAUCAGAUUCAACUGUAAUGAACUGGAGCCAUUGUAAUAUAUGUGAAUCGUAUAAACAGUAAAAACUCGAAAGCACUAGUCUUUGUUAGUCAACACCGCACACUAAUCGGACAAUUGCUACGAACCACGGCUUGGUCUUGCCUCAUAAUAUAUUGACUAUUAUAGACCUUCACAAAGGUCAGGGGUAAAGG